UUGCCUCCAUCCCACACUGCACAACAUUGCACUAGAGGUUUGCACAGAUGAGCGGGGAUGACGAGCGGAUAUAUUUAUGUCAUCUUUAUUUAUUUUCACACCUUGCCCCUUCCCCAGUGAUAAAUAAGUAGAUGUUGCAGCAGCACUGACUGAUGGGCAGGAGCUCAUCACUACACAAGUAGAUGCUGCAGCAGCACUGACUGAAUGAUGACCAGGAGCUCAUCACUACACAAGUAGAUGCUGCAGCAGCACUGACUGAAUGAUGGCCAGGAGCUCAUCACGUGUCUGUGGACGUGUCCGGUGCCGCAGGAUGACUAUGCAUCACGAGGAAAUAGUUUCAAGGAGGAGAUGGAGGGGCAGCGGGGCAGAGAUGCGUGUAAGCCGACAGGCAGACUGCCAGGGAGAGGAAAGCAAGAUGGGCAGAGAGAUGAAAUGCUUUCAGGGGUUAGAACUGAAGAUAUUAAGGAGGAUACACGACGUGGCGUGUCUGGUGGCCACAGCCGGCCCAACCCCCUCAGGACCCCCCGAGUGAGGAGCCUGUGACAAGGUCCUUGACGACUGGGUAACGCAAACGCCAGGAAGUUUGAAAGAUGGGAAGUGACACUGUCGUCAACGGCUGUGGAGAAAAACGGCGGCUGUCAGGCCGGGCGGCCAUUGUGCCCGGCUGCGUGACAGCUGCAAGCUACGGAGGGUAUGGAGGAGUUGUAUAAAUUUCCCCUGUGCCGCAAAAUCGGAUUACGGGCACGAGUGCAUGGACAGCGCCUGUCUGUCACACGCACUUUUCUGACCAUUAUCCAUGACAGCCAAGAACUGGGACCUGUCCAAGGGUCCGCAAUUUUUUCCCCCCAUCGGGGAAUAUGUCAGCACACCCACCCACACCUCAUCCUACCUCGACGUGAGAGAUGUUACAGUGACAGUGGCUCCUGACAGUUCCGGCAGUUGUCGCUCGCCAUUGAAUACACUGACCCUGCAUCCCUGUGACAACAAUGCUUCACGGUGACAUGUCCUCCUUCAGACCUCUGUCGGCAGACGCAGAACGGCUGGCUUCCAGCUGCAGGGUGCACAGUUUCCAGCUGCAGGAUGCAAGACUUCUAGCUGUUCAUCUCACCAAUGCUGUGUUAUCAUUCUCGAAAGUAAAGUCCUGUUUUGUACGGUACACUAUUGUAUAAGUCAAGCAUGAUUGCAAUCAGAUUUUUUUUAUUACAGAACAAAUGUAGUGACUA